GAUGAACGCUGGCGGCGUGCCUAAUACAUGCAAGUCGAGCGAACAGAUGAGGAGCUUGCUCCUCUGACGUUAGCGGCGGACGGGUGAGUAACACGUGGAUAACCUACCUAUAAGACUGGGAUAACUUCGGGAAACCGGAGCUAAUACCGGAUAAUAUAUUUAACCGCAUGGUUCAAUAGUGAAAGACGGUUUUGCUGUCACUUAUAGAUGGAUCCGCGCCGCAUUAGCUAGUUGGGAAGGUAACGGCUUACCAAGGCAACGAUGCGUAGCCGACCUGAGAGGGUGAUCGGCCACACUGGAACUGAGACACGGUCCAGACUCCUACGGGAGGCAGCAGUAGGGAAUCUUCCGCAAUGGGCGAGAGCCUGACGGAGCAACGCCGCGUGAGUGAUGAAGGUCUUCGGAUCGUAAAACUCUGUUAUUAGGGAAGAACAAAUGUGUAAGUAACUAUGCACGUCUUGACGGUACCUAAUCAGAAAGCCACGGCUAACUACGUG
rnacentral:rRNA from 1 species